GAUGAACGCUGGCGGCGUGCCUAACACAUGCAAGUCGAACGGAAGGGCCCUAAGUUUGUGGGGUGCUCGAUUGCCGAACGGGUGAGUGACACGUGUGUAUCCUGCCCUUGACUUUGGGGGAACUUCAGGAAACUGGGGCUAAUACCGGAUAGGAGCUCCUGCUCCAUGGUGGGGAUUGGAAAGUUUCGGCGGUUGGGGAUGGAUUAGCGGGUUAACGGCUUGUUGGUGGGGUAGGUGAUUACCAAGGCGUUGGAGGGUAGCCGGCCUGUGAGGGUGACCGGGCACAUUGGUCCUGAGAGAGGCACCAGACUGCAACGGGAGGCAGCGGUGGGGAACCUUGCACAAUGGGCCGAAGUGUGAUGCAGCGACGCCGCGUGCGGAAUGACGGCUUUUGGGGUAAGAACAGCUUUCGCCUGUGACGAAGCGUGAGUGACGGUAACGGGUAAAGAAGCACCGGCUAACUACGUG
rnacentral:rRNA from 1 species